GCCCCAAAUGUUGCCAGUCAAACCUUUUGGGUGGCUGGUCUCUCAACUCAAAUUGCCUAGAAAUUGUUGCCACAGAGUGUGACUGGUCUUUUGGGGCUUCACAGUGCCUUAAACACAUUUCCUGUGUCAUCAGAUGCUUUUCCUACCUUCUAAGUCUCUUACAGUUAUGUUCAAAGUUAAUUAUGGCUGAGCUUUAAUGCUGUAGUUCUGAUAAUCCUGGCUCUCCCCACAUAGCUCAGUGAGGCACCAGCAAUUAAGAAAUGGCUUUCCAGGCUUUCCUGGCAGACGGGAAGAAGCAGUGACCUAAUUACCUGUGAGCACGACAGAGUAGAGCUUCAUUUUGUCUGUGUUUGUUUCAGCUAUUCCAGUGGUGGCCCGUGCUGUGCUCCUACCUGAAGUCCCAGUUUGUGAUGCCAGAGCCGGCCCUCCUGGAUGUGGUCUGGGUGGUGGGGGUGACGAGAGCUGCCUGUGCAAAACCUCACAGAACGGAGGAAGAAACUCACAGUUGGAAAAAACCUGAUGAUUAGAGAUGUAACAUCUAAUACAAAGCUCAUCCAGUGGUUAAGCUGUAUUUUUCCAAGGAAGUGUUUGGACAAGAACAGUGUGGAAAAGAAAAAGGGUAAGAACUAAGUCAAAUACCUUUGUUACUUGAUUUGGAAUUUGAAAGUUUUGCUGGCUGGGUUUUCUCUUUGGCUUUCUUGGAAAAGUUUUCUGGUUCCUUCACUUUCGUGAACGUACCUCCACAUGUCUCUUGAUGCUCAACCCACCAAAAGUCUCGUGCAGAGGGUGGUCUAUUCAUUGAACGUUUCACAUAUCCAAAAUAAGGUUUUCUGUUUUGACAGGGGCCAUUGCAUCGCCACCAAUGCUGGCGAUACAAAUCCACCUCAUCAUGAAAAUUAUGAUAAAUCUAGGUUAAAAAAAAAAAAGCCAGUAAUUCAGAAAAUUUCUGGAUUUUGUAAGUCUUGAGAUUAAUCACUAGUGCUGCAUUUUUUAAAAACACAAGAGCGCUCCGUUCCUUUGUAAUACAGAGGUCAAACCUAAAUUCCUCCUGCAUGCCAAAAAGGAAAAAAAAAAUUGUCUGCUUAUGGACUGACACACUUCAAAAAGCCCUUCUCAAAGUGUUGUCUUCCUCACAAAAUAAAUAGAAUUUAUUAUACUAGUAAACCUGAAUACUGACAAAUGGUCUGUGAUUUGAGAAGCACUUGCAUUGUUCCAAAAUUUAUCCCUCUCUGACAAUUUUUUUUUCUA